GAAACAGGCAUGCUUACCUCACAGAACGAGGAGCCCAGAAGAGUCAGCAGAGCAAUUGGUUCUGUUGCUCCAAGGUGUCCUUCGUCCGUGCACUCCAUUUCAUCCUCAGUGAAUUAGAAAUAUUGUCCCUCGAGCUCUAACCACUAUCACCUCAAAAAACACACUUAAAGGCCCUUUUAUCUAGGAAAAUGGAGAGAGUGACUGUGGAGCAGAGAACCAACAAUGUCUGGUCCACACCCAACUCAGAGUUCCUGGUCACUUCAGUCGUGUCCGACUCUGUGCAACCCCAUAGACGGCAGCCCACCAGGCUCCCCCAUCCCUGGGAUUCUCCAGGCAAGAACACUGGAGUGGGUUGCCAUUUCCUUCUCCAAUGCAUGAAAGUGAAAAGAGAAAGUGAAGUCGCUCCGUCAUGUCUGACUCUUAGCGACCCCAUGGACUGAAGCCUACCAGCCUCCUCCAUCCAUGGGAUUUUCCAGGCAGGAGUACUGGAGUGGGGUGCCAUUGCCUUCUCCGCUCUCUGUAAAUAGCUAAUAAAAAAAAAAAAAAAAAAAACAAGAUUGAAGAAACAGAUCAUUACUUUAUCUUGAAAUUCUUAUUCUUCUCAUUCAAGUUUCCAGCCUAUGUAUUACUCUAUUUUACAUAUAUCCAUCCAUCCAUCCAUGUAUAUAUAAUACACACGUGGCAGAAGCAGCCGAAAACAAUUAUUCCUAAUUCAUUUUCAAAGUCAAGAGGCAUUUUAGCUCUAGGUCAGAACUCCCAGGAUCCCAUAUGAAAAGUUCUGAAGAAAAAAAUCUGGAAAACAUUUCUGACUCCUCAAGCCUCACAAGGACAGCUUUCAGACCGUGUGAUUCAGAACUCCCAGAAGAAAAAAGCAAUCCAGCGCUUGUCCUUAUAAAAGCCAAAACCCUUUCUUCAGGAUGUAGCAGCCUUAUCACAUGACCUCAGCUGGCCUGGAGGAGAGCAGAAUCAUGAAACUGUGCCUUGCCACAUGAACUCAAAAGCUGAGAGA
ensembl:lncRNA